GACAAUUGGUGGAAAUAAGCACAAGAGCACUGACACGUCUAAAGGAAAUGUGCGUGAAAUUAAAAUGAAGAUCAAGGUUUUAUAGGAUGACUACGGAACAAGAAUUGUGCUGCUACAAGCUGAAUUUAAAAAUGGACUUUAUUUGAAUUAUUUGUAAGAAAAUUUGUGCCCUUGUUCACAUAAGGGGGGUGAGAUACUGCUCGGGAGCAGGAGGACGGAUCCCGUGAUUCUCACUACAGCCUCCGUACUUCGCCUGCCGUCUGGACCGAGAAGAGAGGGACGCAGACAGGGAAUCAGACGAGUUCAUAGAAUCGGAAUUUUUGCUUGCGUGGUUGCUGAAUUAUGAUAACAAGGACGAUGCUGAGCAAGUGCUGUUGGAGGGGUCUGCAAAUGUGUGAGGCUGUCGGCUACUGGCUGUAACAGCAGGCCGUCUACGCACACACACCACACAAACACACACCACACAAACACACACCACACAAACACACACCACACAAACACACACCACACAAACACACACCACACAAACACACACACACACACACACACACACACACACACACACACACACACACACACACACACACACACACCUGGUAAUCUUUGAAACAUUGCCUAGUUUAAAUCAUUAGACACGCUGUCCCAGCUCUUCUCACUUGAUUUUUACAUUAGUGUAAUUUUAAAAUAUAUCAGUUGUGUUGAGUGCAAAAGUUUGUACCCCUCAUGGUUGUCACAUGGGACAAAAGAAGGGAAAGGUACCUCUACCUCAAUGUUAUAAUAUUUUAUAAACAGGUCUUUUUUGCUAUUAAUUGAAAAAAAAAGAGCGUGUAUUAGGAGAAUGUGUGUUUCACAUUUAGAAAAGUUUGUAUAAAUAUCAGCUUUUACUCUGCACUAUUAAUUUCCUAACAUCACAUCUGUAAAACCUAAAAAAAAGGAAAUGUCUUCUUGAUUUAGCCCAAGGGAUGUACAAACUUUUGCACACUGUCUGUCAAAAAAAAUGUAUGGAAAUGUUCAGGUGUUAAAUGAAAAGUAAUCAUCCAACCCGAAUGUGUAAACGGAGGAGGUACUGGUACCUGCGUGUUCCAGCAGACUGCCUUCUGUUAGCUGAGAGAGACAUGGGCAAGGAGUCUUUCCUCAGUACACGAUGUUCUGUGUAACACACACACACACACACACACACACACACACACACACACACACACACACACACACACACACACACACACAUUACAGCAACAGCAGCACUUUUUUUUUUAAAGUGGUCAGGUGUCAGGUUCUUCUUCUCAGAAUCUAUAUAAGGAAUAAAGCACUUGGGGGUUUGGUGUUAGGCGUAGUUAGAUUUGGCCAAUGUGAAGCUUUGAUUAUUUUACAUUAACAGCCUUUUUUAUCCAUCCAUCCAUCCAUUUUCUGUUGCGCUUCUCCACUUCAGUCUCAGAGAUCCUGGAGUCUAUUCCAGUAGACUCAGGGCACAAGGUGGGGACAGGGAUGGCAAUCCACUGCAGAGCGCAAUCUCUCUCUUUCUUUCUCUCUCUCUCUCGCUCACCCUCAAAUACACACACACUAUGGACAAUGCAGAGAUGUCAGUUAGCCUACAGUGCUGGUCUUUGGCCUGGGGAGGAAACCAGAAUACCCAGAGAAAACCCUGAAUUACAGGGAGAACCUGCAAAUUCCACACACACAGGAUGGAGGCAGGAAUCAAAACUUCAACCCCCAUGUUUGUGGAAACAUACAUGCUAACCCCUAAGCCUCCAAGCUUGUUUCUGGCAUAAAUUAUGUUAUUGCAGCUAUAAACAGUCAUUUUCUCAAUCUAGCCUCUCUCUUUUCAUUCAUUCAUUCAUUCAUUCAUUUUCUACCGCUUAUCCGAACUUCUCUGGUCACGGUGAGCCUGUGCCUAUCUCAG